UCCGCUGCCCUGCAGGGAUCUGCCAUCCCAGGCACUGCACGUUGCAAGAUAAGGGACGUUGCACAUCCUUCACCUGGGAAACUUCUGGACUCCUAACUUCACCUGGGAAACUUCUGGACUCCUGGGACGUGCUCUCCUCCAUUUUCCCGGCUGCAUCGAGUUCAUGGUCUGUCUGCACACGUGAGGCCACCUGCCAGGCCACAUCCCAGCACAGGCGUCAUCCAGUGAUUUCCUCAUCGGCCAGAGUCUGCGUCUGCAGCUUUGUGAGCCACGCGGCCAUGGCCUGACUCUGUGCCGAGAGCCCCGCAGCGGUGGCCACAGACAAUAGGAGGCUGCUUCGUGCUCUCAGCCCUCGUGCUCAUUCUUGGGGCAGCUUGAAUGGAAAGCCAGCAUCACAGCAGCACCCAGGGGGGCCGGGAAGGGGCUGACUUCAGUGGAGCUUCGAGGAUUUCCCAUCUUUCCUGCAGGGCUAGCGGCCCAGGUUGGAAUCAUACCUCAUCCCCUUCCUAAAUCCUCCCUCUACCCUGGGCACCUGAGGCUGGAAGAGGCAGAUGCAGGGCUAUGAUCAGACUGUCCAGCCCGACCCCUCUCUGGCUGUGUGACCCUGACCAGUCACCUGCCCUCUCUGUGAGCGUCGGGGCCCAUAAGGGAACAGCUGAUCCAAGGCCCGGUCCCCUGACCACCCCCUGCCGCACUCCAGCUCCCACCCAAUGGGCUGGCUCUAGUGGCAGAGGCACCCAGGGGUCCCAGCAGCCCUGCCCCGCCCCAACCCCACGGCCCCCCUUCCCCAGAGGCUGACCUGGGUGAAGUCCCACAGCCGCUGUGUUGGCCGCGCCACAUCCUCACACUUCUUCAGGGUGGGCAUGCGGCCCGUGCCGUCAUCCACCAGACACUUGGAGUCAGGCAAGAAGGCUGUGGAGCCCAGAGGCCCCAGCUGCAGCAGUCCAUCAGCGCUGUACCGCACCAGCUGGGGACAGGACCACCGGGACUGUGUGUGAGCAGCGCCCAGGCUCUCCCCAGUGAGCACUGACAGGCCGUGCGAGCUGCCUUGAGCUGCAAACGGGGCCCUGCGCGGCUGCCUUGGAGCCUCCCACCCCGGGGACGCUGUUGCGGGCGGGAGAGGACCGCCGGGCAGGGCCCACGUGGGGAUGCGGGCUGGACGGCGCCCAAAUGCUCCGCAGGGCCAGGCUCCCGGCUUGCACAGCUGGCUGGUCUUCCGCCUGGACAGACGUCAUGAAUGUGGCUCAGACCCAGAGCGCGGCCCCACUCGUUUCGGGGAGGACAGGAGUUGGGUUUAAUUUGGGCAACAUGCAGUGCCGUGUGUGAGCGGAACACGCAUUCCCGUGGGGUUAGAAACGUCCAGCUCCUUAUGGGGGUCAUGGUCAGAAUGGCCUGGACCUUCACUACGGCCAGCCCCUGACCACUGUGAUUCUGCGGGGCUGGGGCUGGGGCUGGGCCUGGGCCUGUGCUGCAGGUGAGUCCUGCCCAGGUGGGGAGUGCUCGGAGGUCAACAGCACUAUUGCCGUGUUAAUCCACCCCCCGAGCCAAUGCUUCCCACACUUCGCUUCAAUCACGCGACAGUCCUGAGCGGAUGGAGUGCACUGGUGUGAUCUCAGCUCAACCUCCGCAUCCCAGGCUCAGGGUUUCGCCACGCUGCCCAGACUGGUCUCAAUUCCUGGGCUUAAGUGAUCUGUCUGCCUUGGCCUCCCAUCGUGCUGAGAUGACAGGCGUGAGCCACUGCACCCGGCCCAGGCUGUUUUCAAUUCCCCGUGUUCUGCUACCUUCCAGGUGGGGCGGGCUGGGAGGCCUCUUCUAGAGGGGCCCUCAGGCUGCUCCAAGCCCUGGAAUGCAGCCCUGGUGGCCUCAGAACACCCCAGCAGGCUGGACCCGUGCCUCUGCCCCAGGGUGUAGGGUCCGGGUGGCCUGGGGUCGUCCCCUUGGGAGCUGCAUGGGUGGCCGCUGCUACUCCUACCUGGGAGGACAUCCCGUGGCAGGGGUAGAGGAUCGCCCGGUCGCCGUCCUCCGCUCCCUGGUCCAGACAGUAGGCACUGGCUUUGCUGUUUCUCACCUGCAAGCAGAAGCCCCAGGAGAAAGUCCAGAGUCACCCGAGGGUGCGGCCCCAGGGAGCUUCACGCAGCCAGCUCUGCAGCCAGCACCUAAGGAGGAACCCUGACAGCCCUCUGAGAACAAGCCCGGGCCAGACUGCUGGGGGAUGUGUUGUCAUCGGGCAGCCAACCUCCAGCCUCCAGAACAGGCCCAUCGGAGAUCAGCACAGCCUGGAUCAGGCCAGCAGCACUGCCUGGGUGGCCCCGGCUCGUGAGCAAGUGUAGAUGCUUAUUGCUUUUGUCCACCGCGUCUCCAGGCUGCUGGGUUUGCAGCAGCAGCUGACCCAUCCACCACGGCCACCACGAGAGGUCACACAGGUACCACUUGAAGCUGCGACACUUCAGCCUCUGACGCAGGGCCAGCCUCUCAGACACGUCCCCGAAGUCCACCCCUGGGUUCUGCAAGGCCAGAAGUAGGUGAGAGGAGGGUCUGAGGCAGCUGCUCCUGAUGGGAAGGACCCUGCCAGAGGCCAGCCCCGGCCUGGACAGACGGCCCCUGCUGCAGCCGGCUCGUCCACACCCACCCGGGCCCAGGAACCUCCUGCCUGAGAAGACGGCCCUGCUCACCUGGCCUUACUGCACGGCAUCAGCCUGACCUCUGGAGGGUGGAGACUGAGGUCAGCCAUAUCCAGAGACCAGCCUGGCCUGAGUAGGACAGAAAGGCCGAGGCAGGGAGUGUUCACACACUCUGCUCGAUUCGGGCUGGGACGUGGGUCCUCCCCUGCCUUCAGGCUUGGAGCUCACGCCACCGGCUCUCCUGGGCGCCUGCCAGCCGACGGCCAAUCUCGGUACCCUCAGCCCCCGUAACCGGGACAGAUCCAGAGUCCGGGGCAGGAGGGAGCCGCUCCCUCCUCGCCGAGAUGACCACACAGCACGCAGCUAACGCCAGGCUCCCUGACCCCGG
rnacentral:lncRNA from 1 species